GAUGAACGCUGGCGGCGUGCCUAAUACAUGCAAGUCGAGCGAACAGACGAGGAGCUUGCUCCUCUGACGUUAGCGGCGGACGGGUGAGUAACACGUGGAUAACCUACCUAUAAGACUGGGAUAACUUCGGGAAACCGGAGCUAAUACCGGAUAAUAUAUUGAACCGCAUGGUUCAAUAGUGAAAUACGGUUUUGCUGUCACUUAUAGAUGGAUCCGCGCCGCAUUAGCUAGUUGGUAAGGUAACGGCUUACCAAGGCGACGAUGCGUAGCCGACCUGAGAGGGUGGUCGGCCACACUGGAACUGAGACACGGUCCAGACUCCUACGGGAGGCAGCAGUAGGGAAUCUUCCGCAAUGGGCGAAAGCCUGACGGAGCAACGCCGCGUGAGUGAUGAAGGUCUUCGGAUCGUAAAACUCUGUUAUUAGGGAAGAACAAAUGUGUAAGUAACUAUGCACGUCUUGACGGUACCUAAUCAGAAAGCCACGGCUAACUACGUG
rnacentral:rRNA from 1 species